ACCAGACAAGCGCAGGCCAGCGGGUGACAAACUCCAGUGGCGGACGCUGCACGCUCGGCGCGGCCUGGAGGAAGCGCUCCCGAGGCCCUCUGAGCAAUGGCCGCGGAAGUCAGCAGCUACAGCCGGCGCGGCGGGCUCCUGCGCCCCGAGACCUGAUGAGCUGCCGUGGCCUCCGCCACCCGCAGGCCACCUCCCUGAGAAGAGUUCCAGGGAGAUCUGACGCCCUCUUCUGGCCUCUGUGGGCACAGUAUACACGUGAUGCAGACAAACAUGGAGAUAAAACACUCAUAACACAAAAAAUAAAUCUUUAAAAAUAAAUAGUAGGCAGUUUGAAUCGCGGUGCAACUGAGGAGCCACUGUGGGAUUUUGAGUAUAGAGAUGCAUGAACAGUCUCUCCUUGGUAGUUAAUUCGACUGUAAGAGGACAAGGGGGUGAGCAGCCUGGGGCUGAGACUGUAAGCAAAGAGCCAUCUUUGGAGCUGGUAAGGGCACCACCAAGCCUGACAUCCUGAUAAAUCCAUGGAAGGAGAGAACUGACUCCCGCCAGUUAUCCUCGGACCUCUACAAGCACUCCAUGGCAUAUGUCCUCUCCCACAAGAUAAAACUUUAAAAAAAAAAGUGUGCAUGUAACCCUGGCUGUCCUGAAGCUAGCAGACCGGGCUGGCUUCAAACUCAGAGAUCUGUCUGUGUCUGCCUCCCGAGUGCUUGGGAUUAAAGGUGUGCACCACCAUGCCUGACUCUAUAGAAUUUAAAUGUUUACAAAUUGAAGUGAGUUCAAAUAAACUUUCCCCAGCUGGGCAUGGCUGUAAUCCCAGCUGAAGCAGAGGAUACCUGUGUGUUCCAGAACAUCUGAGGAUACAGUGAGACUGUGUCCCACUUUUUUGAGGCAGAGGUCUCACUUAGCCUUGGUGGGCCUGAACACUGAUCCUCCUGCCUCCAUUUCCCCAAGUGCUGGGAUCAAAUGUAAUUGCUUCAUGCUGCUAGACAAGCACCCUACCAGCUGAGCUUCAUCUCAGCCCAGUUUCUACUGUUUAAUCGCCAAAUUCACUGCUGUUCCCACCCCCACUGCUUGUUAUCUUAAUUCUAAAGGGUUUUUCUUGGCUAAGACUUUCAAAAUUUCAUUCAAGUGUGUAUUCAUAAUUAUCCAUUAUAGUAUUUUUAUGAUGGCUACUUUAAAGUCUUUAUUAAAGUUGGGAGCUGUACUACAUCUUAAAUCCCCAUUCUCAGGUUGGGAAUGGAGGAUCAGAUUAUAUGUCCAAGGCCAGUCUUGGCUGGAUAGUGACAUUGUAAAAUCUGUCAAAAAAUAAACAGUAAGAAAAUUAUACCAGUACCACGCCGUUUUUAUUACUGUAGCUCUAUAGUAGAGCUUGAGGUCAGGGAUGGUGAUGCCUCCAGAGGUUGCUUUAUUGUACAGGAUUCUUUUAGCUAUCCUGGGUCUUUUGUUUUUUCAUAGGUAGUUGAGUAUUUUUCUUUCCAAGUCUGUGAAGAAUUGUGUUGGGAUUUUGAUGGGGAUUGCAUUGAAUCUGUAGAUUGCUUUUGGUAAGAUUGCCAUUUUUACUAUGUUAAUCCUACCUAUCCAUGAGCAUGGGAGAUCCUUCCAUUUUCUGAUAUCUUCUUCAAUUUCUUUCUUUAGAGAUUUAAAGUUCUUAUCAAAAAGGUCCUUCACUUGUUUAGUGUUAUCCCAAGGUAUAUAAAUAAGAAAAGUAAAAAGCCUUGUCAGUUUCAUCACGCCUUCCAUCCUGGGGUUGAUGUCCAUGGGAGAUUUGCUGGUUCUCGUGAGUUAUUUGUUAACUGAGACACAGACAUUUUGGGUAUUGGAUAGACUUUGGAUUUAUUUAAACCUGCGUUUCUUUACAGCCAGUCGGCUGCCUUUCCUUGACUUUUUUUUUUUUUUUCAAACAUUGAUUCAUCUACAUUCAAGUUGAAAGCCUUGAGUCUCAUUUUCCUCUACAAAAUAUUCAGGGCUGUUUAGGAGGAGGAGGGUAGGCUAAGUACUAUUCUAUUCUAUCCCUAUCAACGAGUAACUACUUUCCUGAUGCCAUAGCUCACCCAAACAGUGAAGUAUUCCUUCAAGUUUAAUUUCUUCAGAGCAAGACACCAGCUCCUUUGUUCCUUGUGGACAAUGCCUAGGUCUGUCUAUACUGGGAUGAACAGGCCUUGCAGCUAGUGUGUGGGCUAGUUUGUCAACCUGCCACAAACUAGUUAUCUAAAAGGAGGGAACCGCAUCUUGGAAAAUGUCUCCAGAAAAUCCAACUGAAUCCCAGCACUGGGGGGGAGGGGAGGCAAGGCAAGUGGAUCUGAGUUUGAGGCCAGCCUGGUCUACAGCGUUCUAGGACAGCCAGGGCUACAGAGAAACCCUGUCUCUAAAAACCAGUAAAUAAGUUUGCAGAGGGAGGGAGGAACGGGAAGGAAGGGAAGGAGGGGGAAGGGGGAGGGGAGGAAGGAAGGGGGGAGGGAGGGAGGAAGCGGAGGAAGAGAAAGGGAGAAGGAAGAAAGAAAAAAGAGAGAGGGAGGCAGGCAGGCUUACUUUCUGGUUAGGUUCCACAAGUCACUGUGGUUUAAAUGAGAAAUGCCCCCUAGGUUCAGUAUUUGGUGCUGUCUGGGAAAGCUCAGGGACAUUUUAGGGGACAGACAUUUGGUAGAGGAAGUACACACUGGGUGCAGGCUUUGAGAGUUUGGUCUUGCAGUGGCCUCUUGUGUUUCCUGUGUGGCUAAAUGUCAUUGGUCAGCUGCCCGCUCUUCCCUUUCUUGCCAGAACAGACCAUCCCUCUGAAUCUGUAAGCCCAAAACCAACCCUUUCCUCCUAACUUUUGGGAGCGUGUUUUUCUCAACAGAAAACUGUGUAAUACAGCAGGAGCGGGCUGUUGCUCUAAUCAAUCUGACCACAUGCCAUUUAUGUCUUUGAGACUAUUUUGUGAGAGUUUGGACUCUGGGCAGAAAAAACUGCUUAAUAUUAGAAGCAGAGCUUAAUGGGCCAUUCUGGUGGGAAUUUGGAAGAUAAUACUCAAGAGAAAUGUAGACAGCAGAGGCCUGGCUUGUGAGCUUUCUGAGGGGAAUGAGGACUCUAACCAGAAACAGGGCUAGGGGCCAUUAAUGUGAUACUUUGGCAAAGAAUCUGCCUGCAUUCUGUCCGUGUCCUGAGAAUUUACCUGAAGCUGAAUUUUCAAAAAUAACAAAUUUCUUUGGCAGAGAAAAAAAAAAAAAUUUUUUUUUUUUCUUUCCCAAGAGAGGGUUUCUCUAUGUAACAGCCCUACUGUCCUGGAACUCACUCUGUAGACCAGGCUGGCCUGAAACUCACAGCUCCACCUGCCUUGCCUCCCAAGUGCUGGGAUUAAAGGCGUGCAGCACCACCGCCUGGUAGCAGAGAAGACUAAGACAGUGUAACACUGAGUCUAUCUAUGGUAUGGUAUCAAUGGUUACUCUCAAGCAGGUCCACAGACCUACUAGGACAGAAAAAAAUAAAGGCUGUGCCACUUAGAGAGGAACAGCCUGAGCAACUUUAUGCUGCAGUCCUGUCACGUGCUUAGAGGCUGUAACGCCUCCUGCUCUGCACCCACAAGACCACUCCCUGCUCAGCCUCCAAGUGUCAGAGGAGAAAACAAAGUGGUUUUCUGCUCCUAGAAAACAACUGCCUAGAGUCUCCCAGCUUCCAUACAGAAGCUGCCACAACUAUGCUCCAGGGGGCCAGAGCCCAACCUGAGUUGGGCAGACCUGGCAGUAUCAUUCAUGUGGUACUGGUGUGUGUGGCAGAGUUUAAGCGUGGCAAGGCUAUUUAUUACACAGUACAACUGUUAGUGAAGCCUGGGUUGCAUUUGAGACCCCAAGAUGGUGGAAAUGCCAAAGCCAUGGACAUCAGACAAAAAGCUGCAUACAGGAAGUGGAGCAGGCCAGAGAGCUGUUGCAGACGGCCAAGCUGGAGCUAUUGAAACCUUUGAAACUGAAGUUUUCAUCAUGGACAGGGAGCUGAAGGGUUUGGUGUCUGUACUGUAGGUUUUGGUCUUGCUUUGGUACAAUCUUUCCUGGCUAUGCCCCCAUUCCUCUCUUUUGGAAUGGGAAUGUGCAUUCUUUGACGUAUGUUGGAAGUAUAUAAUCUUUUUUGAUUUUGAAGGGUCAGUUAAGAAUUUGCCUUGAGGCUAAAGAGAUGACUCAGUGGUUAAGACCACUGGCUGCUCUCCCAGAGGACCAGGGUUUGAUUCCCAGCACCUACAAGGCAGCUUACAACUAUAACUCCAAUUCUCCAGGGGAUCUGAUGCUCUCUUCUGGUCUCUGCAGGCAUCAGGCACGCACACAUGAGCGCACGCGCAGAGACAGACAGAUGCAAAGAGAUUAUAGCCCAGGACCAACAAGAUGGUUUGGUAGGUAAAGGUGUUUAUCCUUAAGCCUAAUAAACUGAGUUUCAUAACGGAACCCACAUGGUGGAAGCAAAGGAUGGACUCCCAGUGGGCCCUUGACCACCACACAUGGAUCAUGAAAUGCACAUACCGAAACUAAAUAUAGUAAAAGCAAUUUUAAAAGACAUUACAGCUCAAAGUUAGGAAUAACGAACAUUUAUUGAGAAAUGGAAAGUAACAAGCCCCUCCAUCCUGCAAUGUCUUUCUCUCCUGAACAAGACACAAACAAGUAAUGCAAGGGAGUGGGGACAUGAGGGUUGGCCCGCCUUCUUUUCCAAUUCCCAAGAUGACAUCCUGAAAAUGCAGGGGAGGCCACACACUCCCCGAAAAGUACCACAUAGCCAGGAGGCUGAGGCUGACUCUGUUCAACUGUGCUGCCCAGAGCACGCCUGGUUCAACAAGUGCAGGGAACCAAGAGAGGCCUAGGCCAUCCCUACUCGACACAAAGCAGAAAGUGUGCCAACUGUUCCCAGUGGCAGAGAAGUCAGGCCCUAGUGUCUUGGUGUUCUCUUGGGCCAGGAAGGGAGGGUGAAGCAUGAGGAAUGUCUUCUGGCUGCUGAGAAGAAUUGUUUGUCCCCAUUUAGAGGGGUUUAAGGGAAGCAGACUUCUUUAAACAGUAGAGUGGAGCACCCCAGAUGCCAUUCUUGGAUUCCUUGGCUGGGCAACCUCAGAGCUGGACUGAUUUUGGCUCAAACUAGACCUUUCUAGCUGGGCAGAUCUAACUCCAAGAGAACAGGAAUUAAUUGAAAUUCUCUUUACUGGGCUAGCCUUGAGAGGAUCAUGGUGUCUCAGCUUCCUUUACUUCCUUGGUUUGUGCCUUUAUAGCACACACUACUGAUAUGUGUGCCCUUAGAAUCCUGCUCCAGCUAUGACAGCUUAGACUCUCCUGUUCCCAUCGUCAGAGGACUACUGGCCAGCUCUGGAAUGGUGCUGCCCAACACUCAGCACCUGCCUAAGUGCCAUAAUUCUGCACUAGCAGCCUAGGAGCAUGCUGUAGAAAAUCGCCCACCAGCUUGCCUGGUAGGCCAGCUCUACUCUGAGACUACGCAUGGCAGUGAGGGUCACUCACACCAACAGAGACAAUGCCAUGGUGGCAGCUGCACUGUGGGCAAUCCUGACUGCUGUUCUGUAGGUAUCAAAGCCAGGACGGCAGAGCCAGAGCCAGCCAACAGCUCCCAUUCAAUCCAUCUCUCCCAAGCCCACUGGGCUGCAGCCUGGCUGGGGGUACAGCCUGGAAAAAGGCCCAGCUAACUUGGAGCUGGCGCCUGCACCAAAACCAGGCUGUGGUGUUGCCCUGUCAGGUGAGAGCCAAAAGGGCUAAUGGCACAGGUCCCUUCCUGUGCUCCUAUCUGGAAGCAGAGAGAACUGGGCCAGGGCCUUUGGCACAACUCUAACAAGGGAACACGAACUCUGGGAAAUCCUUUUGGGCUGCCCAAGACAGCACGGGCAGCCAGGAGCUGGCAACACAGCUACCCUACCUCUACCUGCCCCUGUCACAGAGCUCUGCACAUGAGCAGUCAGGUGGAAGACAAGAGGCCAGUGACCUAAUGCAGCUCCCCAGCUGACCUAGUGCCCUCCAAAUGGCGGGAGGUCCCAUUCAUUCCAUUUUAUUUGUAAAACUUCAACAGAACAAGAAAAC